rnacentral:lncRNA from 1 species
CCGCUGCCACCAUGCCUGCUGGGUGUGUGCCUGCUCUCUGUGAAGUUCAUCCUAGCCAGCUUCUAGAGUUCAAUGUGUGUGCUAACUGUGUGGUUCUCGCCAUCCACGCGUCGUUCUGCCAUCCGCUACCCACGUGAACAUAGGGAGGAAGGUCACCAUGCGCUAGGGGAGAAGGUCACAUGAGGUGCUUGGGACAGAAUUGUUGUUGUUCGUGAGGAAGAUGGUCAGAGUUCAUAACAGGCUGUGUAAUCUUUGUGUGGUUUCUGGGAUGUAGUUUAACAUGGCAAUUUCCUGUAGCGAGUAUAUGAUUAUAGAUUCCAUAACAUCGGUCGUUCUUGUGUUCAACUAUCAUUUUACUUUGAGAUUUUUAUAUUCAUUCCACAUGGAGUUU